rnacentral:rRNA from 1 species
GCAUAUCAAUAAGCGGAGGAAAAGAAACCAACAGGGAUUGCCCCAGUAACGGCGAGUGAAGCGGCAACAGCUCAAAUUUGAAAUCUGGCCCCUUGGGGUCCGAGUUGUAAUUUGUAGAGGAUGCUUUUGGUGAGGUGCCGCCCGAGUUCCCUGGAACGGGACGCCACAGAGGGUGAGAGCCCCGUCUGGCUGGCCACCGAGCCUCUGUAAAGCUCCUUCGACGAGUCGAGUAGUUUGGGAAUGCUGCUCAAAAUGGGAGGUAUAUGUCUUCUAAAGCUAAAUAUUGGCCAGAGACCGAUAGCGCACAAGUAGAGUGAUCGAAAGAUGAAAAGCACCUUGAAAAGAGGGUUAAAUAGUACGUGAAAUUGUUGAAAGGGAAGCGCUUGUGACCAGACUUGGGCGCGGCGGAUCAUCCGGGGUUCUCUCCGGUGCACUUCGCCGCGUUCAGGCCAGCAUCAGUUCGUCGCGGGGGACAAAGGCUUCGGGAACGUGGCUCCUCCGGGAGUGUUAUAGCCCGUUGCAUAAUACCCUGCGGUGGACUGAGGACCGCGCAUCUGCAAGGAUGCUGGCGUAAUGGUCACCAGCGACCCGUCUUGAAACACGGACCAAGGAGUCGUCUUCGUAUGCGAGUGUUCGGGUGUCAAACCCCUACGCGUAAUGAAAGUGAACGCAGGUGAGAGCUUCGGCGCAUCAUCGACCGAUCCUGAUGUUCUCGGAUGGAUUUGAGUAAGAGCAUACGGGGCCGGACCCGAAAGAAGGUGAACUAUGCCUGUAUAGGGUGAAGCCAGAGGAAACUCUGGUGGAGGCUCGCAGCGGUUCUGACGUGCAAAUCGAUCGUCAAAUAUGGGCAUGGGGGCGAAAGACUAAUCGAACCUUCUAGUAGCUGGUUUCCGCGA